rnacentral:rRNA from 1 species
GACGAACGCUGGCGGCGUGCUUAACACAUGCAAGUCGAACGGAAAGGCCCCUUCGGGGGUACUCGAGUGGCGAACAGGUGAGUAACACGUGAGUAACCUGCCCUUGACUUCGGGAUAACUUCAGGAAACUGGGGCUAAUACCGGAUAGGAAUCCUUGCUGCAUGGUGGGGGUUGGAAAGCUUCGGCGGUUUUGGAUGGACUCGCGGCUUAUCAGCUUGUUGGUGGGGUAGUGGCUUACCAAGGCUUUGACGGGUAGCCGGCCUGAGAGGGCGACCGGCCACAUUGGGACUGGGAUACGGCCCAGACUCCUACGGGAGGCAGCAGUGGGGAAUAUUGCACAAUGGGCGGAAGCCUGAUGCAGCAACGCCGCGUGCGGGAUGACGGCCUUCGGGUUGUAAACCGCUUUCAGCAGGGGCGAAGCUUGUGGUGACGGUACCUGCAGAAGAAGCACCGGCUAACUACGUG